CAGCCGGAAGUGUUCCCUGCGUCACAUCCGUCACGCCCUCAUCAGGCAGUGUCCAUGGCGGAACACAGGUCACCCUCAAAGGGUCAGGGUUUACUUCUACACAGUUCGCCUUUGGACCCGGCAAUGAGCUUGUGGGAUAUCGGGUCUACUUCAGAACCAACAUCCGGGAACUUCCAUGUGACGUCAUACCGUAUCUCAGCGGGUCUCGUCAGAUCGUCUGCACCACGAGGCCGUCCAAUGAGGAGACGUACAGUGUUCACGUGACCAUAGACGGCGUGAGCCUGGAGAAUCUAGGCGGAUCCUAC